GAUGAACGCUGGCGGCGUGCCUAAUACAUGCAAGUCGAGCGAACGGACGAGACGCUUGCUUCUCUGAUGUUAGCGGCGGACGGGUGAGUAACACGUGGAUAACCUACCUAUAAGACUGGCAUCACUUCGGGAACCCGGAGCUAAUAUCCGUUGAUAUUUUGAACCGCAUGGUUCAACAGUGAUAGACGGUCUUGCUGUCACUUAUAGAUGGAUCCGCGCUGCAUUAGCUAGUUGGUAAGGUAACGGCUUACCAAGGCAACGAUGCAUAGCCGACCUGAGAGGGUGAUCAGCCACACUGGAAAUGAGAAACGGUCCAGACUCCUACGGGAGGCAGCAGUAGGGAAUCUUCCGCAAUGGGCGAAAGCCUGACGGAGAAACGCCGCGUGAGUGAUGAAGGUCUUCGGAUCGUAAAACUCUGUUAUUAGGGAAGAACAUAUGUGUAAGUAACUGUGCACAUCUUGACGGUACCUAAACAGAAAGCCACGGCUAACUACGUG
rnacentral:rRNA from 1 species